CCUUGGAAGAAUCAUUGUUUUGUGUUGGCUUAGUCUGUGAUUGUCUGUCCAUUUUCACCGCCUGAUUGUGCCAGAGUGAGCUUUACUUCCUCAGUCCUGGGUUUUACUCUCUCGCUAUUCUACAACUGCUGAAUCUGAGCCACAGAGUGGCUUCACACUACUGGGGAGCUGAUCAGCAAUGGACAUUUGGACAAAGGCGGACAGAGAGAUAAAAUCUCCACCACAGUGAGGACUGCAGUAUAGCUCUGGAUUCCUUUCCCUGUGAUGAUGGUGACAUGAGGGCUGGUUUAUAUCAGGGACAUUCCAGGUACUCUAAGGAGCAAAAGAGCCACUCCUCCAUGAAGGCUUGGGAUCCAGUACUUCCUUUACAAUACUCCCACUUGAUGGGAUCCUCAGCUACCCCUCCCACGCCUCGGCUCAGCUCUGAGAAGCGGGACACUGUUUGCCAUCUUGGUAUUGACAAUUGUUAGCAUAAUAGCUGACAAAUACAGCAGGGAACAUGGAUGACUUUUGUCUUUCUGGAAUAGGAAACCAUGCUGGAAACACCGGGAAAUGAAAGGAAAAGGAAGAGACCCUAGAAUUCUCACUCUGCACACAGGGAAAAGGCAACGUGAGACACAAGAAGAGACCACUACUUGGAAGCCGAGGAGAGCGGUCUGGCCAGAAACCAACCCUGCUGGCACCCUGAAUCGUGGACUUCCAGCUUCCACACCUUUGAGAAAAUAAAUUUCUA